AGAGUUUGAUCCUGGCUCAGAACGAACGCUGGCGGCGUGCCUAAUACAUGCAAGUCGUGCGAGAAAGCCCGCUUCGGUGGGCAAGUAAAGCGGCGACCUGGUGAGUAACACGUGGGUAAUCUACCUUUAAGUUGGGGAUAAGCCUCCGAAAGGGGGUCUAAUACCGAAUAACCUCGCUGGAUGGCAUCAUUCGGCGAGCAAAGGCGGCGUAAGCUGUCGCUUAGAGAUGAACCCGCGCUCCAUUAGCCAGUUGGCAGGGUAAAAGCCUACCAAAGCUACGAUGGAUAGCCGGCCUGAGAGGGUGUCCGGCCACACUGGGACUGAGAUACGGCCCAUACUCCUACGGGAGGCAGCAGUAGGGAAUAUUGCGCAAUGCCCGCAAGGGUGACGCAGCGACGCCGCGUGGGCGAUGAAGCUUCUUGGAGUGUAAAGCCCUGUCAGGAGGGACGAAUGGUUGUGGUCGUAACUGGCCACGGCUUGACGGUACCUUCAGAGGAAGCUCCGGCUAACUCCGUGCCAGCAGCCGCGGUAACACGGGGGGAGCGAGCGUUGUUCGGAAUUACUGGGUGUAAAGGGUUCGUAGGCGGGGAAGUAGGUCGGAUGUGAAAACUUAUGGCUCAACCAUAAGCCUGCAUCCGAAACCACUUCUCUUGAGUAUCGGAGAGGAAAGCGGAACUCCUGGUGUAGCGGUGAAAUGCGUAGAUAUCAGGAGGAACGCCGGUGGCGAAGGCGGCUUUCUGGCCGAAUACUGACGCUCAGGAACGAAGGCCGGGGGAGCAAACAGGAUUAGAUACCCUGGUAGUCCCGGCAGUAAACGAUGGGUACUAGGUGUUGGAGGGAAUUGACCCCUUCAGUGCCGCAGCUAACGCACUAAGUACCCCACCUGGGGAGUACGACCGCAAGGUUGAAACUCAAAGGAAUUGACGGGGGCCCGCACAAGCAGUGGAGUAUGUGGUUCAAUUCGACGCAACGCGAAGAACCUUACCUGGGUUUGAAAUGUGUUGGAAAGCCUCAGAGAUGAGGCCCCUCCGCAAGGAGUCGGCACAUAGGUGCUGCAUGGCUGUCGUCAGCUCGUGCCGUGAGGUGUUGGGUUAAGUCCCGCAACGAGCGCAACCCCUGUUUCUAGUUACCAGCGGUUCGGCCGGGGACUCUAGAAAGACUGCCGGUGACAAGCCGGAGGAAGGUGGGGAUGACGUCAAGUCCUCAUGGCCCUUAUGUCCAGGGCUACACACGUACUUCAAUGGCCGGUACAGAGGGUCGCAAGACCGCGAGGUGGAGCCAAUCCCUAAAACCGGCCCCAGUUCAGAUUGGAGUCUGCAACUCGACUCCAUGAAGUUGGAAUUGCUAGUAAUCGCGAAUCAGCACGUCGCGGUGAAUACGUUCCCGGGCCUUGUACACACCGCCCGUCAAGCCAUGGAAGCCGGGUGUACCCAAAGUCGCUUUGCUAACCGUAAGGAGGCGAGCGCCCAAGGUAAAACUGGUGACUGGGGCUAAGUCGAAACAAGGUA
rnacentral:rRNA from 1 species